GUACAGUUAAAAAGCUCCGCGGUACAGUUUAAAAAGCUCAGUGGUACAGUUUAAAAAGCUCAGUGGUACAGUUUAAAAGCUCCGCGGUACAGGUAAAAAGCUCCGCGGUACAGGUAAAAAGCUCCGCGGUACAGGUAAAAAGCUCCGCGGUACAGGUAAAAAGCUCCGCGGUACAGUUUAAAAGCUCCGCGGUACAGUUUAAAAGCUCCGCGGUACAGUUUAAAAGCUCCGCGGUACAUUUAAAAAGCUCCGCGGUACAGUUUAAAAGCUCCGCGGUACAGUUUAAAAGCUCCGCGGUACAGUUUAAAAAGCUCCGCGGUACAGUUUAAAAAGCUCCGCGGUACAGUUUAAAAGCUCCGCGGUACAGUUUAAAAAGCUCCGCGGUACAGUUUAAAAGCUCCGCGGUACAGUUUAAAAGCUCCGCGGUACAGGUAAAAAGCUCCGCGGUACAGUUUAAAAAGCUCCGCGGUACAGUUUAAAAAGCUCCGCGGUACAGUUUAAAAAGCUCCGCGGUACAGGUAAAAAGCUCCGCGGUACAGUUUAAAAAGCUCCGCGGUACAGGUAAAAAGCUCCGCGGUACAGUUUAAAAAGCUCCGCGGUACAGUUUAAAAAGCUCCGCGGUACAGUUUAAAAAGCUCCGCGGUACAGUUUAAAAAGCUCCGCGGUACAGUUUAAAAGCUCCGCGGUACAGGUAAAAAGCUCCGCGGUACAGUUUAAAAGCUCCGCGGUACAGGUAAAAAGCUCCGCGGUACAGUUUAAAAAGCUCCGCGGUACAGGUAAAAAGCUCCGCGGUACAGUUUAAAAGCUCCGCGGUACAGUUUAAAAG